rnacentral:rRNA from 1 species
AUUGAACGCUGGCGGCAGGCCUAACACAUGCAAGUCGAACGGUAACAGGAAGAAUCUUGCUUCUUUGCGGACGAGUGGCGGGCGGGUGAGACAUGUCUGUGAAACUGCCUGAUGGAGGGGGAGAACUACUGGAAACGGUAGCUAAUACCGCAUAACGUCGCAAGACCAAAGAGGGGGACCUUCGGGCCUCUUGCCAUCGGAUGUGCCCGGAUUGGCUUCGCUUGUAGGUGGGGUAACGGCUCACCUAGGCGACGAUCCGUAGCGGGUCUGAGAGGAUGACCAGCCACACGGGAACUGAGACACGGUCCAGACUCCUAUGGGAGGCAGCAGUGGGGAAUAGUGCACAAUGGGGGGAAGCCUGAUGCAGCCAUGCCGCGUGUAUGAAGAAGGCCUUCGGGUUGUAAAGUACUUUUAGCGGGGAGGAAGGGAGUAAAGUUAAUACCUUGGGUUAUUGACGUUACCGGAAGAAGAAGCACCGGCUAACUCCGUG